UCCUUUGACGUUAGCGGCGGACGGGUGAGUAACACGUGGGUAACCUACCUAUAAGACUGGGAUAACUUCGGGAAACCGGAGCUAAUACCGGAUAAUAUUUCGAACCGCAUGGUUCGAUAGUGAAAGGUGGUUUUGCUAUCACUUAUAGAUGGACCCGCGCCGUAUUAGCUAGUUGGUAAGGUAACGGCUUACCAAGGCGACGAUACGUAGCCGACCUGAGAGGGUGAUCGGCCACACUGGAACUGAGACACGGUCCAGACUCCUACGGGAGGCAGCAGUC
rnacentral:rRNA from 1 species